GAACAACUUUUGGUCGCUGUCGCU
rnacentral:siRNA from 1 species